rnacentral:rRNA from 1 species
CAGAGGGUGCGAGCGUUGUUCGGAAUUACUGGGCGUAAAGCGCGUGUAGGCUGUUCGGAAAGUCGGGUGUGAAAGCCCUGGGCUCAACCUAGGAAGUGCACUCGAAACUCCCGAACUGGAGUCCCGGAGAGGAAGGCGGAAUUCUCGGUGUAGAGGUGAAAUUCGUAGAUAUCGAGAGGAACAUCGGUGGCGAAGGCGGCCUUCUGGACGGUGACUGACGCUGAGACGCGAAAGCGUGGGGAGCAAACAGG